CAGGUGGAAAGUGGAAGCCCAUGUUCUCCAACCAACUGUGGACAAACAAAAGGACCAAACAGCCAGAACUGUAACUUCAAUACGCACUGGCACUUGUGUUUUUAAGCUUGCCGAGAGAAUUAACGUUCAACAGCUGUGCGUAUUCACACUGCUGAAUGCAUAUUACACAAUAUUCUCAGACAUUCUCCUACGCAGAGCAGCAGUAUUGGCCCAUCGGGUGAUUCAUGAGUUUCCAACACAAGCCGCCAGAGAAAGGGAGCUAUCAAGAUUUUGGUGAUGAGAGAGAAGCUGUAGCACAUGUGUUGCAGGUCUACGGAUCUCGGUGCAAUUUGUUCAGUAUAUGGAGCAAUGCAAUGAGUAUUCCAACCCUGAACAGCUGGGAAAGGAGAAAGAUGUGAAAAAUGAGGAGGGAUCCAGGUGGAAAGAAGAUGAAGAUCCAAUUUUUAUCCAAUGGCACAGAAGGCUCUUCAUGUCCAUGCUCUGUUAAUGUCACCUUCCCCAAGCCGUGUCUGCACCAACUGCCCUGCACAAACCGCCACAGGACACCCACAACCCUGCACCCUGCCCUAGUCUUCUCUGCAUUUUCCCUCAAGCUCCAUGUUGCCUGCCGAUGUCUGCUUUUACAAUUCCCUCUUUCCAGAGUAUUCCCUUCAACUUCCUCAUUCUCAUUUCAACUAAUUUUUACUGGUACUCCAGUCCUCAUCCUGCAGGGCACCCCUUUGGAGUCAUUUUCUGACCUGGAGGUUUUAUAGAAAAUGUUCCUCUCUGUUUACCCUAUCAUGGCAGUGGUUUGCCAUAGGACAAUUGCCUGCUAAUUUCUCUGUCUCCUUCAUUACCUGGAAGCUCCUGGAGGGCAGGAUUUAUAUAAUCUUCACCACUGUUUUCCUAGUAGUUAGGAGUACCCAACCAAUAACAGUCACUCAAUAAAUACUUUUUGAAUAAAUUGUUGCAAAUAAAUAGUAACCCUAGAAUAUUCAAGGUAACAAUGUUCUGUACAAUCACUGGAAGAAAACAGCUGUUUAGUACAUUUUGAAAAUAUUUCCAUCAAAACAGAUUCAAAUAAAAUCUUGGCACUUCAAUGGAAUAAGCUUCAGUUAACUGGAAAAAUAAUGUGCUUGCAAUGUGUUAACAGAAGAUGGUAAAU
rnacentral:lncRNA from 10 species